rnacentral:lncRNA from 7 species
GGGCAGCUCUGUCCUUCAAGUGAGCUGCGGGUCUCUUGUUAGCAGACACAGGGUGCUGUGCCCUAUCUCCCUUAGAGGUGCACGGGGCUGCCCUCGCUGUGGAGGUGACUGCUGUGACGGUCACCAGCAGCCUCAUCCCCGUCCCUCUGCCAUUGGCCCCAUGGAGAUGCUUGCAAGCAAUCCUCCAUGAGGAGCCUGAUGCAAAUCCAUUGGAUGUACUUGGCUUUGCAUACGCAAUCCUUUAAUUUCCAUAUGUAAAUACAGGGCUGCGUGUGUAGGGGUUGUGCAGGCAAUUAAUUAUUUUGAUCUCUCUGCACAGAGCAAAGUGAAAAAUCCCACAGUGAAACACAGCCAUCUCAGGCUCUCUGAUAAAAGGCAGCUGUGGGCUUUGCUUGCUUUCUCCUAAUGUGCCCAGCAGAGCUCACAUUGCAUUGGCUUCUGCUGUUCCCUGCAAGAAAGGAGUCAGCAGUUAACCUGACAGAAGGAAAUCCACCCCCUCGCCUUCCCAAGGCACCAAAGGGCCUUUUGGUUCCUUGCUCCCUUUUCAUUGCCUUGUUUCUGCUCUCUCCCUCAGGUUUCCUUGCUGAGCUUUCACUGUGAAGCCAAAUCUGCACUGUUUGGUGUCUGCAGCUUCGUUUCUGGGUCCAGGCAACGGGAUGGAGAAAGGAUGGGGGUGAUCCAACAGCCGGCAUGGAAGAUGCAAAACUGCACACACAGAGCAAUAAAAUCCCCCCAGUCUGGCAGUGCAUCGGCAGAAAUCAGACCACAAAAGGACAGGAUUUCUUUCGGUCUUUUUCCAUGGGAGACACAUGGCUUCCCUGGACGCACAGCAGGAAACAUUCAGGCGCCGGUAGAGUUUCUGUGAUUUCUCUCUAUUCCCAUUUGUACUCUCUUUAGCUCCAGGGUUUAAUUCUCCUCCCAUUCAGGAGCACACCGCUGGCGAGCCCAGAGGCAAAUGGCUGAGCUCCCAUUGCUUGGCACUGGCUCAGAGGCCAGGGGAUGGAGGGAGCUGGGGCCAGCCCUGCCUCGCUGGGAAGGGGAAGCAGAAAGGAGGCAGCAGAUGGAGUUUGGGGAGAAUAUAAGGAUAAGGAUGAAGUGCCUGAAAUAAACCUCAAAACAACUAAAACAACACCAAGAGGGAGUCAAAAAGGCAGCUGCAGUCACAAGACCUGUGUAUAGUAUUGUGGGUUCCUCUGCUAGACAAAAGAGAGCAUCUUCCCGCUCAGGGAUGAACUAAUGCUGCUCUGCUUUUCUGUCCUUUGAAUCUUCAUCUUUUCCCCCAGCUAAUGCAUGGGGAAGGUGGGCUAUUCUGGAGUCACUGUGAAUUGGUUUCAUUUCCUUGCUUGCUGGAGCUGAGUAAGGGCUAUUUCAUCUCAACAGGCUUCUCCCAGCACACCUUAAUUUGAGAUCUCCUGCAU